GACGAACGCUGGCGGCGUGCCUAAUACAUGCAAGUCGAACGCAGGGGGGACGGGUGAGUAACACGUGGGUAACCUCCCAUCAGAUGGGAUAACACUUGGAAACAGGUGCUAAACCGAUCCUGAUGGAUGGUCCCGCGGUGCAUUAGCUAGUUGGUGAGGUAACGGCUCCCAAAGGCCAGGAGGCAUAGCCGACAGGAGAGGGGGAUCGGCCAGACUGGAACUGAGACACGGCCCAGACUACUACGGGAGGCAGCAGUAGGGAAUCUUCGGCAAUGGACGAAAGUCUGACCGAGAAACGCCGCGUGAGGGAAGAAGGUUUUCGGACCUUAAAACUCGGUUGUUAGGGAAGCGGUAUCUAACCAGAAAGCCACGGCUAACUACGUGCCAGCAGCCGCGGUAAUUC
rnacentral:rRNA from 1 species